AAAGGUAGCCUGAGGCACACUUGGUCACCAGGGCUCUGUCCUGAAGUGAGGCCACUUCAGCUAUUCCCACUCAUCCACGGUGCUAGAAGACUGAAGAUGGCAGCUGUCCCCAAGCCUGCUGACUGACUCCAUAGCCAAGUAACGUCCAAAGAAAGAGGCUUUGAAGAGUUAGGAGACCUUGCUGGGGAACUGCACAUGGCAGGGAACUGUGGGCAGUCUCCUGAAACUGAUGACAUUCUUGACUGACAGCCAGCAAGAAGCGUGCAGUCUUAUCAGAGGAAGGAAUUGAAUUCUGCCAACAACUUAAGUGAGCUUAGAAGUGAAUCCUUACCCAGACAAUUCCCAGCACCUGUGGCAAGAAUUGGGAUAUGUCGAAUUGGAAGAA